UGUCGUCAGCUCGUGUUGUGAAAUGUUGGGUUAAGUCCCGCAACGAGCGCAACCCUUAUCCUUUGUUGCCAGCGAUUAGGUCGGGAACUCAAAGGAGACUGCCAGUGAUAAACUGGAGGAAGGUGGGGAUGACGUCAAGUCAUCAUGGCCCUUACGACCAGGGCUACACACGUGCUACAAUGGCGCAUACAAAGAGAAGCGACCUCGCGAGAGCAAGCGGACCUCAUAAAGUGCGUCGUAGUCCGGAUUGGAGUCUGCAACUCGACUCCAUGAAGUCGGAAUCGCUAGUAAUCGUGGAUCAGAAUGCCACGGUGAAUACGUUCCCGGGCCUUGUACACACCGCCCGUCAC
rnacentral:rRNA from 1 species